UCUCUGUCUCUCAAAAAUAAGUCAACGUUGAAAAGAAAUUUUUUUUAAGAAGCAGCUUCUUGAUCUGUCAUAUGAUAAUCCGGUUAAGUACUGGAUCUGGGGCUGGCUCGGUGGCUCUUAUGUCAGGGAGCCAGGCUCCUUCUGUUUUCCUGCUCUACCACCCUGGGGUGUAGCCCUCAUCCAGAUGAGGCCUUUGCACUGUUGAAAUCUUCAUUUCCUCCACAGUGUGGCGCCAGACCGCUCUCUGCCGCUGCCCUGGAACACACGCAGCCUAAGCACCAUUCCUGCCUCUGCUUCGGGCCUCGGGACUUUUCUUCUUCUUGAACGAGUGUGCUCCCGCCCCCCAGCUGGUGCUCCACGCCAUCCCCCAGAUCCCUGCUGACCUCCAGCCCUGAAGAAGCCGGAGAACCUCUGCUUCCCCCACCUCCCCGUCCGCCUUGUCCUACUUCAGUAGUUUGGUCCUGGAAACCCACGAACCAUAGUUCACAGAUUCCCUCGACAGCAGAAUUCUGCCAAUAAAGCGUACCUGUGUGAAAUUUGGAAGGCGGGAAGGAGGUGGAAGCCAUGCUUUUCUCCUCUGUAGCAGCAGACAUGCAGGCUGAAUGUUGGAGUCCAUACUCCCCACCAGUCAGGCUUGGGGCCAUGGGGCUGUAGUGACCCCAGCAGUGGCUUCCCGAAGUUUCCUGACUGAGUGGCAGCAGCAACUUUGAAUCUAUGGAAAGCAACGGUGGUAAAGUAACCUGAGAGCUAGUGGUGCGAUUCCCCCCUGGCCCUGACCUUCACCACCGCGAGCCCCACCAGUGAUCACUCACUCUGGAGGUACCCAGCCAUCAUGCUGUGAGGACAUUCAGUCAAACAGCAUGUGGGCAGGCUCAUAUGGCAAGGAUCUGAGGCCUCCCUCCAACCCCCUUGACAGCCAUGUUAAGUGAGUGAACCACCUUGGAAGUGGACCCUUCCGACUCAGUCAAGCCUUCAGAUGACUGCAGCCCUGUGGUAUCUUGAGAAUCUCACAAAAGACCCAGGGGCAGAAGUGCCCAAGCUAUUCCCGAAAUUUUGACUCAAAACUUUUGAGGAAUGGGGCGCCUGGGUGGCUCAGUUGGUUGAGCGUCUGACUUUGGCUCAGGUCAUGGUCUCACCAUUCAUGGCUUCGGGCCCCGCAUUGGGCUCUGU